AAAUUCAACCAAGCGCGG
rnacentral:snRNA from 1 species